UCCACUUGGUUUGUCCCUUCCCACACCUAGCAACCUUAUUUGUCUGAAAAGAACACAGAAAAAAGUGAGGUUCAUAGCUCAGUAAUAACCAUGCACUAUCUUACUAGAUCAAACAUAAUUUUUACAUUAUUUAAUGCAUCAUUAGAAAAUAACUUUUAUUACAAAUCAAGCAUUUCAUAGACAACAAUCUAUGACAUGAAAAUCCGAUCAUGCAUCCAUAAAUCAUGCAGAUUCAUAAAUAGAGUUCCAAGUAGGUAACUUAAAUAUAGUCCUAAUUCAUUAAACCAUUUUGCCAUGUAAUUAGAGCAUUUCAUAAUAACCACGUAAUAAACAUGUCAAAAAACCAAACAUGCUACUGCAUACACAAAUUCCAUAAAUAGUCGUAUCGUUCCAUAAAUAUAAUCCUCUCAAACUAGAUGCUAAGGUCACCUUAUACCGGCGACAGAAUCGUAAUCAAUUGGAUAUCAUAGUUUGCCAACUCUUAUACCGAUGGCGAGGCCAUAUGCCAACUAUUAUACCCAUUAGCAGGGUCGUACGCCAACUAUUAUACCCGCUAGCGAGAAUCGUAUGCCAACUAUUAUACUCGCUAGCGAGGGCCGUAUAUAGCUAUCUGAGAGUAUGUAAUCUUAUUUCUUAAAUCACUUUUUUAAAUAUAUUUUUUUAAAAUCAUACAUGAAUAAAGAUACUAAAUGGCUUUAUAGAGUUCGUAAUCUAAAAAUAAUUUUUAAUAAUAAAACUAUCAUGAAAUUAUUUACGGUAAAUCAACUAGUUUCAUAAAAGUUCAUAAUUCAUAAUUAGACCCUAUAUAUAUCACCUUUGUAGGAAAAUAUACUUUUUCAUAAUUUGAAAAGCAUUCACACAUAAGUAUCCAUUAGACAAUGCUAUAAAAACAUGAAUCAUUUCACAAUCAUAUACUUAAUCCUAAUUUUUAAGAAAAUGUAAAGCCAAUCAUAUUAGUAUAAUUUAUAUUUUCAUACUUUAUAUAAAUUAAAAUCAACCAAUAAUUCAAAAAUUAGUAAAGCCUGUGCUAGGGUCACUUACCUCUGUUCGUCCAAAGAUCACUAGGUUUAGAUGGGUAAAACGACCACACCUAUCCAAAACUAUUUAAGAAGAUAAGGUAAUUUAUAUUCAACUAUUUAAAAAUCUAAAUAUAAAAUAAAAAGCUCCAUGGGAUCGAAAUGGACUUGAUCUGACUUCAUACCUAAAUCGAGAAAGAGAGGUGAGAAAGACCGGUCCAAACGGUCGCAAUGGAGUCGAUCUAGGGCCCUAUAUAGGGAUCCGCCCAAGGGUGCACAGAGGAGGAGAGAAGUAGAUGUUGGAAUCCAAUAUUUUAUUUUAUUUUAUCUAUUUAUUAUUUUCUAUUUUCUCUCCUCUCUUUUUUCUCCUCUUUCUUUUUUUUCUUUCUUCUUUCUCUCUCUCUUUUUCCUUUUUUUCUUUGUUCUAUCCCUUUGUUUGGCAAAACAGGGGGCAUGAGCCCUGCCCCUCACCAGAACACGGGAAGAAGGAGAAGGCACGAUGGCCCAGCGGUGAUCGUGCUCGGUGACGACACUGGUCGCGGAAGCCAGGCAAUGGAGAAAUAACCGCCCAUAGGGGUCGCAAGGCCAUUGAAGAGAAGGACGAGGGAGAGGAGGAUGAGAGAGGGGGUCGAGGCUAUUACCUUGCUCUGGUGAGGCGGCGACUGUGAAUCCGGCGGAGAUGGGGCACAGAGAGCUUGAAGCGGCAAAAAGAAAAAAAGAUAGAGAUGGAAGAAGAGUAAAAGAGAGAGAGAGAGAGAUCAACGGAAAAAAUUGUUUAUGUUGGUCAUGGGAGUUAGGGGAAGGGAAGAAAUAGAGGGAGGAGACCGUCGAUUUCACGAUCUCCUCUUGCUCACCUUCCCAAAACGGCGAUGGGUUGACUACCGGAUCUCUUUUUGUGGGCAUUGUGUUAUUGUGGGCAACAUCCCAAGUAGCACAGCCAUCUCAUGUUCUGGAAUUGGGUUAUGACACUUAAUGAUAUCAGAGCAUAGGUUUGAUCAUCGGUAGAACUUAAAGCUUGGUAAGAAGAAGAUAAGUCUUGUCUAGUUAGAUCAUGUUUGGUUAAAAUAAAGAAUAGAUAAAUUUCCGCUUGUCCUCCCACCUUUUCACCAACUAUAAAGAUGUAUUGGAAAGGGCUUUGAAGGUUGAAGCGGACUUGAAGAGAUUCGAACAAGAGAGGGGUGACAGAAAGAGGCUUAAACCAACAGAAACCCAAAUUAACUAGCAGAAAGACUCAGAGAACAACUCUAAGAAGAAGAAUACCGAAACUUGCCGGUAUUGCGGCAAGAAUCAUGAUGGGCCUCAUCUUAAGAAGCUUUGAGCAUGCUAUCAGUGCGGCAAGGUGGGACAUCUAAUGCAAGAUUGUCUUAAAAAGAAGAAGGAUACCGGUGCAAGCAACUAAGUAGUGACAUGUACAAUUCUAAUAAACCCAGUAGAUGCUCAUGAGUCUUUUUUUUGAUUCUUCUAAGUCCUUUGUAUCUUCCAAGUUGGCUAGAUCUUUAAACUGUUUAUCUGGAAGAUAGAAUAGGCCACUGUGUUACCACUCCUCUUAAGAAAGUAAUUCUUGCUGAUGUUGUGUUUAAGAACUGCAAAUUUCGAGGAUCAAUUUUUUUUAAGAAUGGGAGAAUGUGAUAAUCUAGGUAUUUUUUGGCUGGGUGAUCUGGUAGCAGCGUGAGAAAAAAAAAGAGGAAAGAACUCACCUCCCUUUUAUUUCCAUUGCUCCUCUUUGCUGACAGACAAUCCAUCAUCAUUUUGGAAAGGUGAGGGAGAGGAGAUAGCGAAAUCGCCGGUCUCCUCCCUCUAUUUCUUCCCUUCCCCUAACUCCCAUGACCACCAUGAACAAUUUCUUCCCUUGAUCUCCCUCUCUCUUCUCCUCUUCUUGCAUCUCUAUCUUUCUUUGUUUUCACAGCUUCGAGCUCGUCGUGCCCCAUCUCCGCUAGAUUCAUGGUCUUGCCUCAUCGAAGCAAGGUAAUAGCCCCAAUCUCCUCCCUCAUCCUCCUCUCCUUCAUCCUCUUCUCCGGCCUCGCCACCCCUAUGGGCGGCCAUUUCUCCAUUGUCGGGCUCUCAAGACUGGCGCCCUCACCAGGUAAGACCACUGUCGAGCCAUCGUGCCUUCUCCCUCUUCCCUUGUUCUAGUGAAGGGUGGGCCCACGCCCCCCUAUUUUGCCUCAGAGAGAGAAGAAAGAAAAAAACGGAGAGAGAGAGAGAGAGAAAGAAGAAAGGAAAAAAAGGAAAAGGAAGAAAAGAAGAAAGAGAAAAGAUUAAAAAAUAAAUAGAUAUAAAAUAAAAUAAUGGAUCCCAUCAUCUACUUGUCCCCUCCUCUGCGUACCCUUGGGUGGACCCCUAUACAGGAUCUUAGAUCGACUCCAUUAUGACCGCUUGGAUCAAUCUUUCCCACCUCUUUUCCCCGACUUGAGUAUGAAGUCAAAUCAAGUCCAAUUCGGUCCUUUAGAGCUUCUUAUUUUAUAUUUAGAUUUUUAAAUAGUUGAAUGUAAAUUACUUUAUCUUCUUAAAUGGUUUUGGAUAGGUGUAGCUGUUUUACCCAUCUAAAUCUAGUGAUUUGUAAGGAUACAUAUGUUUAGUCCUACAUCGACUAUGCACUGGGUAGACCUUGAAUACUUAUACAACAUCAAAGAACCCAAAUAAUGCUUUUUGGCUAGCCUUUUUUGAUGAGAUCUUGGAUUGUUACAAAUGGUAUCUAAGCAGACCCAGCCCAAGACCUAUGUAAACCAAGGGAUACUGAAGCACGAGCCCAUUAGAGCUGACCAUUGGCCGAUUGUGGUGCUUGUGAUUGGAUUUGAAUAGAUAUGAACCCUUAGUCUAGUAAGAACGCAAGCGCUUAAAUGGGGGAAGUAUGUAGGGAUCCGUGCAUGCAUGAGUUUAGUCCCACAUCGGCUAUGCACUAGGUAAAUCUUGGGUACUUAUACAUGACCAAAUAACCCCAAAAAUAUCUUCCGACUAGCCUUUUUGGAUGAGGUCUUGCGUUGUUACAAAUAUGGCACCAAAAUAUUGCCGAACUCCAUAACAUUAGAAAAAUGUGUGGAACUCAAAUUAUCACAAUGUGCGUGGAUUGAGAAUAGGUGAAGACCAAAUUUACAACAAAACUCAUAUAUUUUGAAGCAAUUAAUGCUACAGCAACCUGCAUGUUACCUUAUGGAUAGACAGACUUGUACUUCUUGCCUGAACUGAUGCUAUAUACCAUUAACAUUUCAGAGAUAACCUCCAUUAAUCAAUAAAUUGGCUAAUGAACUAUCAUUAAAGUUAUCACAAGGGAAAGAAGUUAACAUUACAAGAGGUUUUCUUGAAUUAACAUCCAGCAAUGACGGGUAUAUGUUUCUAGAGGCACCAAUUCAGUGGUUGCUCCCAGAGGCACACUUUCCCGUGAAUGCACAAUCAGCAAAAUACACAAAUUCCUAAAGAAGUGAUAAUGUGGUCAGUCGCCAUAUUAAUAUCUUCUCAGCCUAAUUAGUACCUUUGUAAUAUUAGCAUGUAUCUCUUCUUGAUCUGGGUUUGAUUUAUAUGUACAAAACAAUCAGCCUAAUUAGGGUAUCCAGCUCCUCCAAGUACUUAUCUUCAUCACCAUGAAGAAGAGCUUGAAAGAUGAACGCACUGACAACUUGAGAUCCAAACAGAUAAGAAAAUCAAAUCUGAAACAUCAAAGCUCUCAGGAGUUAUAUGUUUUCUUUUAUUCCACGAACGAGAGGAAUUAUGCCAAGAAUGAUAAGAUAUGGUAUUUAUCCAGUAGGCUCUUUAAGACAUUUCAAGAUCCAAAAAGAUAAGAAAUCUGAAAACCACAGAUCUUAUAAAACUCCUAGUUCUUGAUCUUGUUCCAUUGUAUCGUCCAAUGACGAGACUAGUCAGAUAUUCCAUAUACUCCGAUUAGCGAUCUUUCCCGAUCUCCCUAAAAGCGACUUAUUUUCGUCCCAAAACACCAAAGAUGUUAAGGUUUACGCGUUCUUUUGAUACCAAGAACGAGAGAAAACAGCCAAGAAUCCCCAGAUCUGGAGUUCCUCCAAUGAUUUCACUAAUAAUGUUAAAGAUCUAAACAGAAAAAGAUGUAGAAACUUAUAGAUCUUAUAAAACCUUAAAUUCAUAGAAUUCAAGAUCAUGUACAUAAAUCGGAUGGGAGAAAUUUAUCUACGUAUGAGAUCCGGAUCAGAUCAAAGAACGAAAAAAAGAAAGAACUCGAAUAAGUUACCAUAUCAAGAAGAUCGAAGUGGAGAGAGCGACCGGAUUCGAACACCAACCAGGGAGCGAGAGCGAGAUGCCUCCUAUGCACCAGAGCUCUAGAGAGUCGAAAAGAAAACAGAGGAAGCUGGGGAGAGAAUGGAAGCUACCGGGGAGGACCCAUGGAGGCUAACAUAUUCCGUAUAUAUCAGGUGGAUAUCGGCCCUUGGAUGGCGGCGAUCGAGAGAGGACAGCUGUCCC
rnacentral:lncRNA from 1 species